CAGGUACUAUCGAAUACUGACGCCAACUUGCACGCAUCGUACAUUUCCUUUAAUAGCUGUGGGUAUAACUUUUGCCAACGGAGGCUCGUGCUAUUUCGCAGAAUUUCACACAUUAAUCUGAUUGCAAAACUAUUGUCAAUUCUAAUGCAAUUAAAUUUAACGAUACAGACGGCGGCCUGGCAAUUAAAGUAAAAGCAAAAGUUUUUCUCAAUCAACGUCAGCUGGACUUCACACAAAAAAAAAAGAAAAUCGAACGUACCAUACCAAAACGACAACUUGUACUAAUACCUCGAGAAAUUUACAGUAGAUGAACCAUAUUGCAGUCCUAUAUGGAUCGUCCCCGAAAAAGCGGAUGCCUCAGGACAUAAAUCCUUGGAAAACUUGACAGACGUCAAUAUUUUACUACUAUUGACAUAGCCAAAGGCUUCAAUCAAAUCGAAAUGGAAGAAACCUCUGUUUAAAAAUCGGUCUUUUCAGCAAACAUCGGCCACUUUGACUUAAAAAUUGGUUUAAAUAUUGCACCAGCUCAUUUUCAGGGAUUGCUGCAUAAUGUCUUAAGAAAACUACCCUAAUUAGCAUCGUCUGACAUAUAUUGAAGAUAUAAUUGUGUAUUCAACUUUCUUGGAUACGAUAACUGCGAUGAAAAACUUUCCUUUGCUAAAAUCGGCAAAACAAAUCAAAUCAUUUUUAUAAUUUUUUGGUUUUUGAGUACAUUUAUUCCUAAUUUCUCAUACAAAUCCAAGCUAUUAACACUUGGGCCUUAAAAAGGAGCCACAACAAUACAAAAUACACCCAAUCUAGUUUAAAGUAACCACUGAAUCAUACAAAGAAGAAAACCUUUAAAUUAAUUCGACCGACAAAUUAAGAUUACAAAAUCGGGACAAGAUGACGUUCAAAUAACAAAAUAUUCUUCGAAAAGUAUAAUAAACAUAGAAUAUAUCCAAUUGACCCUUGAAAAGACUAAGGAUUAUAUAUUUUUGCAAAAGAAGCUCUGCACGUAACAUGAAACAUGAGAAAAAUUACUGAAUUUUCCAACGGCAAUAAAUUGAAUCAAUUCAAUAAAGGAGAUGAUACCAUUAACGAUUCUAGAGAAUAUAUAAACAUAUAAACUAAAAUAAAAAAAAAUAUGGAUAUUAACAACAAAAUUGAUAACAUGUUUAAGCAACUACAAUUACUACUAUCCCAGAUUCUCAGAAAUAAUAUAAAAUAUAAUAAAUAAUAAAAUGAGACAUUUGUAACCAAUGCAAAUUAGAACACAGAGAUAGUAGACCAAUGGAAAUAACUACCGAACCCCUGUAAAAGAAAAAUAUGUAUAGAUUUUUACUUUAUUUCUAUAUAUAUAUACAACUGUUUGUCCUGAUUGACUGACCGACUGACUGGAGAUCUAGAAGGUAGCUAAAAUUGUUGCUGUAGUUACCUUAUGUGAUGAAGCACCUAAAGAUGGGUUUUCGGGAAAUUCUACCUACGUGUGUGGAAAUAUCUUUAAAAUCCGUUGACACGUGUUUCACAUUUUUCUCAAAAUCAAAGCUUCUUUGGCAGAGAGUGCGGUUUUUAGAAAUUAUUAGUGAACUUAUUUUCAGAGAUCUACAUAAGAGCUUAAUGUACUCGUGUUACAGUGAUUUGGGAAAUUCCGCCCAUAACAAUGGUUAAUUAGUUAAAAACAGUUUUAUGAAAGUUUUUUGCUUAACAUCAGAUCGGCCUAACAAGUGCUUCGCACUUUUUGGAAAAUCUAGCCCCCCUUGAUGGAAAUAAGGAUCAAAGAUUUGUCGGUGACGUUUCGCUCUCAAAUUCAAUGCUAGGGAUUUAUAUGAAAUAUCAUCUUAGAUGUAAUUGCCAUUUCUUUGUUAAAUAAACGAUUCAAAGAAUUUUUGUGUUAAAGUCUUAAGUUUUGCCUGAUUUGCUUUAAACUUAUUUUCAAAGUUCUACAUAAGAACUUAAUGAAUACGUAUUUCCUUGAUUUGGGAAAUAUCACCCGCAGCAGCGGUAAAUUCGCGUAAAUCGGCUGUAGGAAAGUUUUUUUUUAACUUACCGAUCGGUUUCAAAUUCAUUUUUAAAGAUCUUUGACAGCAUUUAUUUAAUAAAAAUCAUAUAUGUAUACAAUAUACAAAAAUAUACAAUUAUUCCAAAUUUCCCUCACUUAUAGGUGUUAUAGGUAUUCAACGGUAAAGAUUAGUUAGGAGCAAAAAGAGCUUUGUUUAACAUGGGAAAAUCCCAAGGAAUUAGA